ACAAUUGUUAACAAAGCGAGAUGAAUACAACAAAAGGGUGGGGAGUCUCUGGGUGCUGUUUCUGUUGUUACAGAGUAUUGCUUUGAGUCUCUCUCUGUGUGAGUAGUUGUUGUUACAAAGAAUUGCUCUGAGAACAGACUCUGCCUUAGAAUGUACUAGCACAAUUAGCAGCUUGCAAGUUUCACACAUAGGGGGAGAGAAACAGUACCAAAAACCAAGAGACCUCUUAAUUAGUAAUACCCUGGAAUUUAAACUAUGGGGAAUCAAACUCAUUUGUGAUUUUAAUACAAAACUUCUUUAAUAUGAUCCAAAAUAGUGACAGGUUGAGAGUGUGACCUGCUUCUGUAUAGAAUUCUGGGAGGGGUGUGUCAUCUGAACUAUCAUACGGAAGACUGAAAGGCAUAAGGGAUGAUAUGUAUGAACCAUAGCAGCAGUGUGAUAGGAGUCAUUGCUAGGGGACUGACAGCCAUGGGCAUGAGCAACAAUAGAAGCUGAAUGGAGACUUGGCCCACUGAUUGUGCAUGUAACUCAUAACCUUUUAAAGCUACAGUGUGAGACUUAAAUGAAUCAACAUGAUGGACACCAGCAAAAGAGGAGAUGGAAAACGUGGUGCAGAGAAACAGUUGUGUCAAAUGCAAAAAGACUUCUCCCAGAUUCUGAUACCCUUUACUCACCUUGAGCGGCACCUUCCUCCACAAGAGAGACUGUCCAGUUUGGCCAAUGUACACAAUAAAUGAACGGUUUUUUGCGCUGGUGCAGUGUAGCUGCAUUGGGUGUGACAUCCCAUUGGAUUCCAAUCCUCCAUGUCUCCUUUCCAUGAGAUCCCCUGAUUCUGAGAGAAGGUACCACCCAAGCCAUCCCCAGGAGGGCAAGAUUUGAAGCCUGCCAACCAGCCAAAUGCUCAGAAGGAUGCCUGCAGCUUCCAAAGGGUUGACUCCAAGAGUGCCAUUUGAAGACAAGACUAAUGAAAUCUAAAUGGGGAGAGGAUGGUUUGAAGUUUCUGAACUGUGGCUGGAGAGCCCCAAAUAUCACGGUGCAUGCUCACAGCCUGAGAGAUCAGUUAUUGUCAAUUACUCCUUUGUUCAGCAAGAGGCUUAAUUUCAGACUUGACUCCAUCAGCCAGAGCCAUGGGUCUGUUUCUGACAGGAUAAAUGGCAGAGUUGUCAGGAAAAGAGUCCUGUAGCUGUACAGAACUUCACUCUCUGGAUUCUCCUCUCCCCUUCAGAAUAGUUCUCACUUUGUAGCCUUUUUAUGGACAAUUUUGCUUUAAAGGUCUUUAUGGAGUUUUAUGCCAGCUGAGGAUCUGGCCCUUAUAGUUAAUUCUUUGGGCCAAGUGUUUGAAGCCAUACUUGGAAAAUGGGUUAAACCUGCUGUAAAAUAACCUAGUGGAUGUAAAAAUCUUUACUGAGUCCCAGGAGGGGAGGGGAGCCUUAAAUAAAGAACAGCUAAGUUCAAAGGAAAGAGAGUGAGUUAGAAACUAGCAUGUGGGUUUGGAAAAAAAAAAAAACGCUAGACAGGCUAUGAAUACAAGAGAAUCCUUAGCUACUAGUACAAAGGUAAUGCUCAGGGACAAGUGCUGGCCUUCAAGGGUAUUUGAUUUGUUAACUCUCAGUUCUUUAACUCGCCCACAAGAAUGAGCCCGUCCCAGUUUUCAGGACAACUGCUAUAACCUUCUACUGUACGUCUAUGGCUAAUGGCUGACGCACCUGACUUCUCACAGCCUUAGAGCAACAGCGUAGCUCUAAUGGCAGCAGGUUGUUACAAAUCCAACUCCCCAGUCAGCUUGAGUGUCAGUCAAGGAUUUCACAGGAAAAUGAGUAACUUGGAAGCCAACACCACUCAUGGCUUCUGUUUUUCAUUAUUGGUCAAAAGUUUCUUUAAACCCCCCGUGUAUCUCAGAGCCAGCCUCAGCCAUCUGGAUACCUUAUGGAAACCUCCCAUUAACCUUCCACCACACUCCAAAUGGACUGAAAAGGACAGUGCCAAUGCUCUGUACAGGGAAAAUCAUUGUAAAGCAAUUGUAUGAUAUGAUGAAAUCCUACAUUGAUCAACUGUCUGGCAUGGCAACAUUCCAAUUUGUGCAAAACUCCCUGCAAGUCCGCCACACACAGUUUAAUCUCUCUCUCUCUCUCUUUCUCUCUUUAAAUCAUGAAUCAUAGGCUGACACUUUCAAACUUGGGUGUUAGGAACGUAAACAAAAGUGGCCUGGUUUAUUUUCACAGUUGCUGAGAAGCCACAAAUGCCCACUGACGCCUCUGAAAAUCAGGUCACUUAUUUACAUUAGUGCUCAAUUAUGGAUGUACAUGUCUGGCUUAAGGUAUGUGUAUUGGCCACAAUACUGGUUUCCAUUAUUAUGCCGUUCUCCAAAGCUUUACAGCUUUGGCAACCACGACAAUAUAUAUCGUUACUGAAAAAUCAACAUGGGAACUACUUUCUACACAUUUAUGACAGGUGUUCACACUAGAGAACUAUGUCUGUUAUUAUGAAUUACAGCAUCCACAGUGUGCUAAAUGCUGGACAGACAUGGAAAUGCACAGUCCAAAAGCCUAUGUUCUAUGAAGAAAAGAAAUGGGGUUAGGUCUGGGAACAGCUAAAACAUACAGACAUUUUAUAUAGGAUUCCAAAGUGUUCCUCUAUCUAGUCAUUAUUAGUUGGCUAGUUUCUUGUAGACACACCAUCAGAAGUAAGUCUCUCAGAGACAGCUAAGGAAGGAUAUCUAUGCCUAGGAAGCAGUGUGAAAGACAACAUGGAGAUGAUGAUGGGAGAAGUGAACAAACUGGAUAUCAAGGGCAACACCAUUUGAUGGGCUGGAGGAGGUGGGAAAUGAGGUAAGUAAAGUAGAGAGGGGGAAAGCCUUGCAGGGCUUUGAAGACCAGGACAAGAAGGUUGGUGGAGAAAGAGGGAACCAGCUGUGGGUUUCAGAGAGAGAGAUGAAAUGGUCAAAACAACAGGCAAGGAUGAAGAUCUGAGCAGCUGGUUUUUGUAUGCACAAGGAGGUCAGUGUGGAUGUCAGGGAGUCCAGGGGGGAAGAAGUGAUAGUAGUUAAGAUGGGAUAUGUUGAGAACCUGAAUGAGAGUUUAGCUGAAGGGGCAGAAUAAAGAUGGAGUCUUGAAAUGGCGUGGAAGAAAGACGAGUGAGAUUGGGACCCAGAGUGCUCAGACACCAGAGUCAUAAAUGCCUGAAAAAUGCUGGUAGAUGGAAGGGUCAGUAGGAGCUUCCGCUAUUCACUAUCCCUGAAAAUUAGUUGUCUGUGGAGCACUGGCAGCUUCUACUGACUCCCAGGGGACUGUGGAUGCUCAGCACCAGAGGCCAGUUUUAUUAAGUCUCUAAUUUGGAACUCAACUUUGAACAUUUUGGCAUUAGUGCCUGAUUCUGCUCUCAUGCUUUUCACCAUGACUCCAAAAAGUCAGUAUACCUACUCAGUGCUUCUAAAGCACAAUGGCCUGGAUCCACAAAGGGACUUAUGUAUUGCAAUGCCUACCUUUAGGCACCUAGGAAAUCACUGGAACAUCAGCAGGAUCCACAAAAUUGAAUUAGGUGCCUCGGUUUCCUAUACAAUGAAUGGGGAGAGAAAGGCACCUAUGAAUGGGAGCCCAAAAGCCAGCAAACUAGGCAGGGAACUGCCUAAACUAGCUACUGGGAGAUGCCAGUGAGAGGGGUGUGUCCUAGGCCCCAUCCCCUCACAGAUUUAGGCACCUAACUCCGGGCUGGAGAAAGGCUCCUAUCUCUGCUUCUGAUCCCCAGUCAGGAACCCCCCUCUGGGAGUCAGGCAGCUUAAGUGCCUAAACUGUUUCUUGCAACCAUGAGCUAAGUGCCUUCCUCAAUCAGGAGAGAGCGCUAACCACUGAGCUAUGAGAUAUUCUGAUGUGGGGUUUGUGACCCAGGGACCUGUCAGUGUCAACUGGCAGAGACACAAGGGACGUGUAGGGUUUUACAUGGAUCCCCUGAGUCAGAUAUAUGCAUAAUAGUUCUCCAAAGGCUGGUAUGUGAGGUCUCUACCAAGAACCAUGAGCCAAUUGGUCAUCAUAAUCAUUGUGAAAUGUAUGUAUGGAUAAUAUUUAAGGAAUUAUGUAUCUAAAGUAAACAGAUAUGUUCUUAAGAUCUGGGAUGCUUAUGUGCAUAAUGAGCCAGAUACCAGUUGAAAGGUUGCAAAAUCUACAAGAGAGAAAAUCUACAGGAAACAGCAAUCUACAGGGGGAUGUCCUGUUUAUGAUAAAAACCAAAGGUAUAUCAGAAAAUACAAAGAACCACACGGUAUCCUUCACCAAGGAGACAAGCUAACAGCGUGUUUGUCUUAUGAAAGGAGGGUCACUGGCUGGAAGGACUUUGGGUGAGCAUUACUCUACGAGACAUGAGAGUAUCUAGUUAACUAAGUUUAGGCUCUAGAAUGCAUGUUAGGAUUUCAUUUUAUAUGUAACCGUUUGUUUCCAAUACCUCAACUUGCUGUCACUUAGAUCGCCCUGCUUUGUUAAAUAAACAUUUACUUUAGUUCACUAUAAACACCUCUAAGUGCUCGUGUUAAGCGGAUCUGUGAUCUGGGGUGGAACUGGUAAGAUAGGGUGUUCUGUACCUUUGGAAGCUGCAAAUCUGUGACUACUGUGAGUGUCCAGUGGAUCAGGGGCUAGACACUCUAGGGAGAUGCUUAGAGGGCUCAAGGGUUGGAGUGUGCCUAUGGCUAACUUGUAGAGGGACAUCAGGGCCUGUGUAAGUACAGAGGUGAGUGCAUGUGUUGUCCGUGCCAGUGGAGUUGGGGAGCUGACCCCCAGCAGACACAGUCAAGGCUUCUUCAUGCUAAGGGCAGGUGGUAGUGAGGUGUCUCACAGCCCCAGGUACCCUUGGGAAUCAUCACAGAUCUCCCUUCCUCUCUCCUGUUGAAGGCAUUCUACUCUGGAUAAAUAAUUAGAGUCAUUAGAGCAGGGAGACUGGACCCUGGGUCAGGCGGUACAGUGAUUCUCUCUCUCUCUCUGGCCCAGUGACUAUUUAAGUAUUUACAUAGUGAAACAGCCUCAACUUUAGAGAUUGAGAGAGAGCCCCACAUCAGAAUAUCCCAUAGUCCCAUGGUUAGGGCACCCCGAUGGGAAACCUCUGUUCAAAUCCUUUCUCCCCUCAGGCAGCAGGUGGAAUUGAACCCACCCACAUCUCCCCCAGCCUGGGUGAGUGUUCUGACCACGAGGCAACAAGUUAUAAGGGGGGCAGUGGCACAACCCCUAUCUGGAAUGGACAAGAAAGGCACACGAGUGCCAAACUCCCUUGGAUCAUGCUGGGGCUUAGGCAUCAGAAAGAUGUCUGGACACCCAGAGGGAGGCAGCAAUGUGCAUGCCUGCAAGCAGAAACUUAAGCGGCUGGGGAGCUUUUACAGGAGAAUUUUAAAUUCCAAGUGAGUUUAGGCACUAGGGAUUAGGUGACAACCAAGCAGGGUCUUCUUGGAUCACAGUGCUGCAUAAAACUGGAACUUAGGUACCUACAUCUGGGGCUGAGGCAUCUAAAUACCUUUCUGGAUAUGGGCCUAUGUCACUUGACUAAAAGGAGUCUGCACCCUAGUAAAAGGCUGCAGCUAAA